CCAGACGGCUGGAUGGUCGCUCCCGUGCAAUGGGGAAACCCGCACGGGGGAGGAAAGUCCGGGCUCCACGGAAGUACGGUGCCGGAUAACGUCCGGCGGGGGUGACCCCAGGGAAAGUGCCACAGAGAGCAGACCGCCGGCGCGUUGGAAUCCUUGUGAUUCCAAGGUUCCGGUAAGGGUGAAAGGGUGCGGUAAGAGCGCACCGCGCCCCUGGCGACAGGGGCGGCAUGGUAAACCCCACCGGGAGCAAAACCGAAUAGGGACGGCAGGGGCGGGCAACCGCCCAGGCGCACUUCCGCGUCGCUGUCCGGGUGGGUUGCGCGAGGCGUCCGGCAACGGGCGUCCCAGAGGAAUGACCAUCCCCCGAAUACCAUCCACAGGUGGGAUAUGGUUCGGUGGACAGAACCCGGCUUACAGGCCGUCUGGCACU
rnacentral:RNase_P_RNA from 2 species